CACGUGACUGAGGACUGCGCACAUGUACUUCUGUUUUUAUUUUGCAGAUGGGGGGAUGGGGACAGGACAAUCGGACAACUAAGUGCGUGAUGUGGAUUGACUGCAUACCUUUCACCCGAGGAAGAAUGAGGAGUGCACUCAUCAGACUAUGAACCUUAAAGGCACGCUACGUAAACUGUUAUUUGAGUCCCCUUUCAUGUUUGAGGAGCUUUCAUCAAGAAAUUAAUGUCUGUUCCAGAUGCCAUGUCUCCUUUUAAUUGUUUUUAGCAUUAUGACAUGUGUCCUUCGACUGUGUUCUCUGGGGUAUCGGGACAAAUGCUGUAAGGAAACACAUAGAUUAAACAGCAGGUAAGGGCUCAUGACUAUCUUUAAUUUCAGCGCCUCUUACAACUGCUUUCAAUACAUUGCAUUUUCAUUUACAUAGCAUGUUUGCCUUGCUUUGAACUUUUAAAUGGUUACUAGCCCUCUAUGGCAUGACUUUGUAUUUUGUCGGGGAAAAAAUAUUUUCCUGCAUUCUUUGGGAGCUUGUUGGCCCUUAAUUACAUAUCAAUCAUAAAAUUGGACCCUGACACCUCCCGGAACCGGAUUUGGAUUUGUUGCCUCAGGGCAACAUUGUGCUACAAGGGGUCUAGAACGCCAAGUUUUCUACAGUGAUUAUGAGAAAUAUAAUACAAAUCAAACAAAAACUAUAUUCAUAAAAAAACUUUUUGACAAAAAUAAAUCAGACAUGGUUCCAACUCAAAUAUAAAAUGACCAACUAACAUACAUUUAAGCAAAUUUCUAAAACAUACAUUUGUGUGUUUGUACGUGUGUAUAUUUGGUGGAGUUAGAAUCACUAAGGAUGUUGAAAUCAGUCUUUUACAUCAGGAAGGAAUUUCUUGCUGAUGGGAAAAAGAGUGCAUAUCACAUUUUUGGCACUUGAUUAUUGGCGUACCUGGGAAUCACCAUCUGUUUAUUUGAUUAUCUAUGGGUUGUAGCAACCAGAUUCACAUCAGUCACUAUAGUUAGGGGUGCAGGUUCUUCUUUAAAGAGUUUGUAGUUCUGAUUCUUUGUUAGAAUUUGAACCAAGCAAAGAAUAACAUUUCCACCAGCUCCCAUAUCUGGUAGAUUUGGUGGCUGCACGGCCACCAAAUCUACCAGAUAUAAGGUUGUAAGGAACACCAUCUGCACCAGCCAUACAAAGUGCCCUGCAGACUCGUGUUUUUGGGUUUGGCAGGUAUUGCUUCAGUCUUUGCCUGCCUUGGAAUGGGGCCAUUUGUUUAUUGAUGACCAGUUUAUCACUCUUUGGGACUGAAGUCAGUUUUGAUGAUAAACAAACAAUGAAAUAAUGGUUGGACAGUAGAUCCUCAUGUUUUCAUCAAGAAUGACCCCAACUUAUGAACCAUGCACAUUUUGUCCAUGAAAUGACCUGGCAUCAAUCUCCUGUUGCUGUUAGUCAAUAAUAAAGUAAAAAAAUUGGCUGCGAUAAUUAUUUUGUAAUCAAUUGCAUAUCAUCGUAUUAGAAUAAUAUUGUCUGAGCAAAAGGGCCCUAACUGUGCAAUGUUGCCCUGAGGCAACAAACAAAAAAAACACAGUUUUAGCAUAUAAAAUAUUUAAAAAAUUGUCUCGAAAUGAUCUAUCAUGCUUCUUUACAUACUCACAGAUAUGAAAAUAUUUUUAGUUGGAGUGACCAAAAUUGAAACAAAGAAAAGUGAUGUAUAACUUACAAGUAGGAGGCAAGGGGUAGCAUGAACCUCUGCUUCAUAAAAAAGAACUGCUCUUCUUCUAAGUAAAAGGUCACAUGAACCUCAAUACCUCUUUUAUUUGGACAAAAAUAUGUCUGGAGGUAUUUUAAAUCAUCAACCCCCAAAAAUAAAAUAAAGGAGCAACGUGAGGUUGCAUAGACAGACAAUAACCGUGAAUAAAAAAACAAAAAUUGUUUGGAUAGGCAACAUUUUAAAAAAUGAGCAGUGGAAAUAUAAGAAAGGCUCGGUGACGUUUUUGUAUCAUGAAGAAAGUAAAACCUUCCUGCUAUUAUAAGCAAUCAUUUAGUCUUGCAAGUGAUUUAAAUUAGUUUUAAUCUGGAAUUGUAAAACAGGAUUUCCAAGGUGAAUGUGAUUCAGUAUGUUUGGAGCUAAUGUCGGUGUUCUUACAAAUAAUUUUCUUUAGUUACUCGUUUUUAGAACAUCAGUUCUUAAAUAUCUUUGUGCUCCUAGGCCUUCAGGGAGGAUUUUAAAAUUUUUUAUAACCUAUCAUUUUUUAAAAACCUCAUACCAUCACAAUGCAUCUUGAAUUUAUUGCAAGCUAGAAAUGCAGAAUUGGCCAGAAUUACAGAUCAUUCUAAAAAAAUUUGCAUAUUGUGAUAAAGUU